rnacentral:rRNA from 1 species
GACAGAGGGUGCAAACGUUUGUUCGGAAUUACUGGGCGUAAAGCGCGUGUAGGCGGCCAUGCAAGUCGGAUGUGAAAGCCCUCGGCUCAACCGGGGAAGUGCACUCGAAACUGCAAGGCUAGAGUCUCGGAGAGGAUCGUGGAAUUCUCGGUGUAGAGGUGAAAUUCGUAGAUAUCGAGAGGAACACCGGUGGCGAAGGCGGCGAUCUGGACGAUGACUGACGCUGAGACGCGAAAGCGUGGGGAGCAAACAGG